CCCUAUUAUUCUCGAUAUCUAAAGGACUAAGCAUUGAAUAUGUUUAAAAUAAAACAACAUGGCGGUGGAAUAAUCGUUUAGAGACUUAUGUGCUUAAUAGAUACCACACAAAAAUCUUACUCUAGUAUAAAUAUCCUCGAAUAUAGCCGUCCGAAGAACAUAAUUUGAAUAAUGUAUAAUCAACUCGGUAUUUAAAGUUAGUAACAUUUUACUAGCAUGGCUAAAUACUAGCUAUAAUUGCAAUAAUCGAAUAAGACAGGCAAUCAUUUGGGAUACGAGAGGUAGUAUGUAUGUCAAUUGUAGAAAAAUCAACGAGGUAUUGUAAUAUAUUUCGAACAGAGAAUCUAAAAGUAACUACUCUUCAAAAUAGUUUGGUGAAUUAGACCAUUUUCUAUGCACACAUCGCCC
rnacentral:rRNA from 1 species